CCUACGGGAGGCAGCAGUAGGGAAUAUUGCUCAAUGGGGGAAACCCUGAAGCAGCAACGCCGCGUGGAGGAUGAAGGUUUUCGGAUUGUAAACUCCUUUUGUUAGAGAAGAUAAUGACGGUAUCUAACGAAUAAGCACCGGCUAACUCCGUGCCAGCAGCCGCGGUAAUACGGAGGGUGCAAGCGUUACUCGGAAUCACUGGGCGUAAAGAGCGCGUAGGCGGGAUAGCAAGUCAGAUGUGAAAUCCUAUGGCUUAACCAUAGAACUGCAUUUGAAACUGUUAUUCUAGAGUAUGGGAGAGGUAGGUGGAAUUCUUGGUGGAGGAGUAAAAUCCGUAGAGAUCAAGAGGAAUACUCAUUGCGAAGGCGACCUGCUAGAACAUAACUGACGCUGAUGCGCGAAGGCGUGGGGAGCGAACAGGAUUAGAUACCCCUGUAGUC
rnacentral:rRNA from 1 species